CGUGUAGGCGGCCUAUUAUGUCAGGUGUGAAAGCCCUCGGCCUAACCGAGGAAGUGCGCCUGAAACUGCUAGGCUUGAGUACGAGAGAGGAGGACGGAAUUCCCAGUGUAGAGGUGAAAUUCGUAGAUAUUGGGAGGAACACCGGUGGCGAAAGCGGUUCUCUGGAUCGAUACUGACGCUGAGACGCGAAAGCGUGGGGAGCAAACAGGAUUAGAUACCCUGGUAGUCCACGCUGUAAACGAUGGAUAUUAGUUGUUGCGAGUUUAACCCUCGCAGUGACGACGCUAACGCAUUAAAUAUCCCGCCUGGGGAUUACGGCCGCAAGGUUAAA
rnacentral:rRNA from 1 species